UCGAGGAUAUUUAGCAAUGGGCGAAAGCCUGACUAUGUGACGCCGCGUGAGGGAUGAAGGUUUUCGGAUCGUAAACCUCUUUCGAUGGGAAAGAAACCCCGCAGUUAAAUAAAUUGCGGGGUUGACGGUACCUAGAGAAGAAGCCACGGCCAACUCCGUGCCAGCAGCCGCGGUAAUACGGGGGUGGCAAGCGUUACUCGGAUUUAUUGGGUGUAAAGGGCAGGUAGGCGAUUUGCCAAGUUAGAAGUGAAAUCCUUUGGCUCAACCAAAGAACUGCUUCUAAAACUGGCUUAAUUGAGGCUAAAAGAGGAGAGCGGAAUUCCCGGUGUAAGAGUGAAAUCUGUAGAUAUCGGGAGGAACACCAGUGGCGAAGGCGGCUCUCUGGUUUAUGCCUGACGCU
rnacentral:rRNA from 1 species